AUAUAAAAUUUGUAAUCGGCAAGGAAUUUAUUGCUCAAAAGGGGAAUUCUUAGAUUCCAUUUCAUAUUUUUCCGAGUGUUACUGUGGACUGCGGAUUUGAUUUCGACUUUUAGGUUGGUUCCCUGCCUGCUUAGCGUGUUGGGCAAACAGAACUGGAAGCCACAAGAAACUGGGUUCGGCUUCCGUCUGGAGCUUCUGGGUUACUUUGAUUUUUUCCAUUUCUCUUCUGGUCGGCUGUGUGUAUGUUUGGCGGGGAGUUGGACUGAUUUGCAACGCAAGUAAUGCAACUGCAGACGCUCCUUUGAUUGUGGCAAUCAGAGCUAACGAAAGGGUGCCAAAAGUUUGUGUAAUUUCAUGUUUCAUGUAAACAACUCGUGUACAGCGAUACUUUGCCCAAUCGAAUUGCAAUUAAAAUGCGAACCAUGCCCGAGCUUAUGAUUAGAGUAAAAGAUCCCCGCAAUUUUAUGCACGUAGCCCGUCGAUUCAACUUCAAAUAGCCGGAGCGCAUUAGCCGCGAAUAAUAUUCAGGCGGCGUCGCGUCGCCGUCACCAUCACCAUCGCCAUCGCCAAUCGCCAUGCCAACAACAAUUAGGCAGAAGUUGAAAUACGAGCAGCGACGACCAAGAGACGGUUGUUAAUAGUGUUGAAGAUGGCCCGCUGGUGCGGACCUGGCUCUGGAAUUGGGCCUGCACUUAAGCACAGCGACUGGAUCUCAACUUUGGCCAAAUGGAAUUGAAAUGACAAGCAGCGGAAAGGGAGAAAGGCAUGCGUUUUGCUGCGCCCUUUUACACCGGGCGAAACAAAGACGAAAUUUGCAGUCUAUCAAUUUUUUUAAGAGAGAUUUGAGUUUUAGUUAUUAGG